rnacentral:rRNA from 1 species
UACGAAGGGGGCUAGCGUUGCUCGGAAUCACUGGGCGUAAAGGGCGCGUAGGCGGAUCUUUAAGUCCGGGGUGAAAUCCUUCGGCUUAACCGGAGAAUUGCCUGGGAUACUGGCUGUCUUGAGGGAGGUAGGGGCACGCGGAACUUCCGGUGGAGCGGUGAAAUGCGUUGAUAUCGGAAGGAACGCCGGUGGCGAAAGCGGCGUGCUGGCCCUCUUCUGACGCUGAGGCGCGAAAGCCAGGGGAGCGAACGGG